UACGAGGGGGGCGAGCGUUGUCCGGAAUUACUGGGCGUAAAGCGCGUGUAGGUGGUGGGACAAGUCUGCUGUGAAAGCCCGCUGCUUAACGGCGGGUUGGCUUCCGGUACGGGCAUCGCUGGAGUGCGGCAGGGGAGACUGGAAUUCCUGGUGUAGCGGUGGAAUGCGCAGAUAUCAGGAGGAACACCGGUGGCGAAGGCGGGUCUCUGGGCCGUUACUGACGCUGAGGAGCGAAAGCGUGGGGAGCGAACAGG
rnacentral:rRNA from 1 species